AAUAGAUACCCCGGUAGUCCACGCCGUAAACGAUGUCGACUUGGAGGUUGUGCCCUUGAGGCGUGGCUUCCGGAGCUAACGCGUUAAGUCGACCGCCUGGGGAGUACGGCCGCAAGGUUAAAACUCAAAUGAAUUGACGGGGGCCCGCACAAGCGGUGGAGCAUGUGGUUUAAUUCGAUGCAACGCGAAGAACCUUACCUACUCUUGACAUCCAGAGAACUUGGCAGAGAUGCCUUGGUGCCUUCGGGAACUCUGAGACAGGUGCUGCAUGGCUGUCGUCAGCUCGUGUUGUGAAAUGUUGGGUUAAGUCCCGCAACGAGCGCAACCCUUAUCCUUUGUUGCCAGCGGUCCGGCCGGGAACCCAAAGGAGACUGCCAGUGAUAAACUGGAGGAAGGUGGGGAUGACGUCAAGUCAUCAUGGCCCUUACGAGUAGGGCUACACACGUGCUACAAUGGCGCAUACAAAGAGAAGCGACCUCGCGAGAGCAAGCGGACCUCAUAAAGUGCGUCGUAGUCCGGAUUGGAGU
rnacentral:rRNA from 1 species